UACGGAGGUUGCAAGCGUUGUUCGGAAUGACUGGGCGUAAAGGGAGCGCAGGCGGCCAAGUCAGUCUGAAGUGAAAGCCCGGGGCUUAACCCCGGAAUAGCUUUGGAUACUGCCUGGCUUGAGUGUGCGAUAGGAAAGCGGAAUUCCAGGUGUAGCGGUGAAAUGCGUAGAUAUCUGGAGGAACACCGGUGGCGAAAGCGGCUUUCUGGCGCAUAACUGACGCUGAGGCUCGAAAGCGUGGGGAGCGAACGGGAUUAGAUACCCCGGUAGUCCACGCCGUAAACGUUGUGCACUAGGUGUGGGAGGUAUCGACCCCUUCCGUGCCGAAGCUAACGCAUUAAGUGCACCGCCUGGGGAGUACGGUCGCAAGACUGAA
rnacentral:rRNA from 1 species